AUCACUUCAUGGCCUUUUGGCUAAGAUCAAGUAUAGUAUCUGUUCUUAUUAGUUUAAGUUUAAAAAAAACAUGGAGGCAUCCAUGCACAGCCAACCUUUAGAAAAAAUAUUUCCUGAUACUAAAGUACUGGGAGAACUACCUCUUAAUUUUUAUAAAUUUGGGUCAAAAUCCAU
ensembl:snRNA U2 U2 spliceosomal RNA